rnacentral:rRNA from 1 species
UGCCAGCCGCCGCGGUAAUACGAACUGCGCAAACGUUACUCGGAAUCACUGGGCUUAAAGGGUGCGUAGGCGGCUAAGCAAGUCGGGUGUGAAAUCUUUCGGCCCAACCGGAAAACUGCGCCCGAAACUGCUUAGCUUGAGUGCGAUAGCAGGGGAGCGUGGAAUUCCUGGUGGAGCGGUGAAAUGCGUUGAUAUCAGGAGGAACACCGGCGGCGAAGGCGACGCUCUGGGCUAUUUCUGACGCUGAGGUGCGAAAGCUAGGGGAGCAAACGGGAUUAGAUA